CUGGAUUAGACAACCUCCAAAGGUCCUUCUCAGCCCGAGUGGCCAUGCUCCCAGGCUGUCCUUCCACAGCCACACAGCCCAUCAAGGCAUUCUGCUCAACGAAGACUUUUCCUUCCUCUGAAAGAGACUUUCCUGCUAAACAACUUUUUUCCUUACUACAAUCUGAUUGCAGUAAGCAAGGAUGGCAUAACAUAACCAUCCAAAUAAGUUGAAAACUUUUGCCCACACAAAAACCUGCACACUGAUUCAUAUUUGCCAACACUUGGAAGCAACCAAGAUGUCCUUCAACAGAUGAAUAGAUAAACAAAACGUGGCACAUCCAGACAAUGGAAUAUGAUACAGCAGGAAAAAGAAAUGAGCUCCGGACAUUCUGGAAAGAACAUUGCCAGAGAUGGUAUGCCUGGUCUUUGC
rnacentral:lncRNA from 10 species